CCAUCUGCGGAGCACCCCACCACCUUCCAUUCGACACCUGUUGAGAUGCCCCGUGCUUCCCUUUCAAAAGAUGACACCUGAUAGGACGGCCCCGCUCCUCUGUCCCAGGUGACGACCAAUGAAACAAAGUUUACUGAUGAAAACACUUCUGUGGUGAACAGGGACACAGGCCUAGUCUGUCCUUUGUGUCGUGGACUCGUGAUCAAGGGUCUCUUUAAUUCUCUGAGGAUGUGGAAAUGGAUCAUUUUACUGAGAAUCUCCUGGGAAAUAACAUCCCGCUGAUCCGUCAAAGGAUGAUGCGGCACCAGGAUGUGUGAGACCAACCAGCCCUCUGGUUCAGAUGACAGUUCAGCAUGGCGCCUCCCGUCGAGGACUUUUAUUGUUGGCAGUUUGAAGCCAACACCUUUGACCCCUCCCGCUGCAGCUACUGCCUGCGGCCGAGUCACAUGCACCUCAGCAGCAACGCUGCAGAAGGGGAAGAGCUCAUUGACGUGGCAGCAGACGAUGACGACUGCCCCUCGUCUGAGGACGCCACAAGCGCCAGCAGUGAUGAUGUCAGCGGUGGCUGGUCCUAUGAGUGGAGUCUGGUGCACAGCCUGAGUGCUGAGUGGGAACUUGAGAACUGUGACACUGACAUACAAUCCAGCUCUCCAAAGCAGGGGGAUUGUUCUGACCGGAGCAGAUCUCUCAGCUCAGAGAGGUGCAACGUAGUCCCAAGAGAAAUGACCAGACUGGACCCCUCCCCUCCUCGAGUCGCUGAAAGUUACUGGAUGGAUGAAGGGAGGGGCAGAGACAGGUCCCGUCGGGCCUCAGAAGCCAGAGGAGAGAAGGAAAAAGAGAGUGGCUAUUUCUCCCCAAACAGACGAGGUGAUAAUGUACAGCAGACAGAAGAGACCAAUAAACGGUCGUAUCGCUACUUCGAGAGAGGACGUCCUCUCCCGAGCAACUAUGUCCCUGAGGCCAAAGCCUGCGUCCCCUACAGGAGUGUCAGCCUGGGUCUGCCGUCCCAGAGAAGAACCCCAGAGACGUACAUGCAGGAAACUUGGCGGAGCGAGUCCCCUCAGAGGUACACGUAUCACUCCAACUUCAGACGAGGUGCUGACUCGCAGAACAACUCUCCAACACGUCACAGCUCUGUGAGUCCAGACCGCUACAAGGUCACAGAUUACCCAGCGGAGCCCACGAGAGGGAGCCCCCUCUAUAGCACCCAGACUCGAUCUGAUGUUUCGUCUCAGCUUCCAUCCCACGGUGCCUCCAGGCACACAUCUGGCAGGUCCAGUCCAUCCCGUAGGAGGGGGUCCAGAACAUCUCGGACAGCAUCACCUUCCAGAUCCAUUCGCUCACACAAGCACACGGACUCUGUAAACUCACAGAGCGGUGAAUAUCUUCCGCAAAAGAGUUGCAGCAGAAACUCAAGAACCCCCUCCCAGGCUUCCAACAGACACAGUUUAGACUCAGAAAAGCUGUACAGAAACCUGGAGUCGCUGUCCCGCCGCAGUUCCACAGCUGUUCCGCAAAACCAGUACGAAGGGCCGCAAACGAGGCCGUGUGAGGCAUCGCCUCGGACCAGAACAACCGUCAGCAGCGUGGCCAACACUCACACUCACAAUAGUCGUGAUGUGUCACCGAGCAGGACAGUCCGCAGUCCUCAGAGCAACACCUCACCCAGAGAGCUUGACUUCACAGACAGCAGAAAAAGCCAUUCUCAAGGCUCCUGGCAGGGCUCCUCACACUCUUUACUCAGCCUCCCACGGUCUCAUGCGUCCAUGUCUUCGAGACAUGGAGCAGACUCUCAGGGUCCUAGUGGAUCACCAUCACAUAUAACAGACAAUGGCAAAACCAACGGGGAGAGUCCAAACAUCUCUUCUGAGAGAAGCAGGAGCAGCUUGAGGAGGGGCAUGGAGAUCUUGCUGACCUCUGAACCUAAGAAGACUCCAGCAGAACUUGAGGAGGCAGGAAUGACCAUUGAUGACUACAUAGUCCUAGCAGACAUUCCAAGGAUACAAGUGGAGUUAGAAGAGGAGUUCCCAAGGCUGCGAUGUAGAAACCAGAGUCCAAGUCCGUGCAGGGACCAGAGACUGCGGGCAUACAGGAGUCAAGAUGAAGCAGACGUGUAUCGCUCAAGGCUUGAAUCAGAGGAGAGGGAAGGGUCAGAGAGAGGGGAAGAGACAGACGAGAGAAGUGCAGGGACCCUGAAAUGGGACGAUCCACCCUCAGACAUUCAGGAGCAUCUCUUCAAACACAGUCAUUGGAUGGACGAAGCAAAAAGCACAGAUCUGUGA
ensembl:lncRNA